AUUAAAAAACGAAAUUAUUAUUAAUUUCUAAAAAUAAUAACCAAUCAAAAUCAACAUAUAAGAUUUGAUAUCUAAAUUUUAUUUAAUUUAAUUUAAUUAGAAAAACGAAAUACAUUAUUAAUUUCCAAAAAAGUAACCAAUUAAAAUCAACAAAUUAUAUUUGAUAUCUAAAUUAUCAUAUUAAUGUUUUAUUAAUUAUUAUAGUUCACUUAUCAUCUUUAUAUGAUUCUAUUUUUGCGAAAAAAUAAUAUUAAGAAAACUUUCUACUGAGUAACGGGUCAUAAUUUGAAAUAUUUCUAUUCAAUUUCAUACAUAUUAUAUUGAAAAUUUAUAAUUUUAUAUACUACAAUAAUUAAUAACAUAUUAGAUGUGAUUCAAUUUUUAAUACAAGCUGGAAAAUCCUAGAAUUGACGGGUUUAGAUCGAUAUUAAUACAAGAUGGUAUACUACACAUGAAACUCUUAAAUUAAGAAUCAAACUACAAGUGUAUAAUUCUAAACACUAAACAAUAUAGAUAAUAUCAACAAAACAUAUACAACUCACAGUUUACUAUACAUUUAAAAUCAAAUAAAAUAAUAUCAUAUAUUUUUAAAUCAUCUUUACAAUAAAAGUUUUUAGUUUAACUAAAAUAUAAGCGUACUUGCGGUAUACUGCAGGUUAAUAUCUAGAUUAAGACGGAUCAUCAAAGAUUUCCUAAACUGAAGCAAAAUAUACUGAAUAUUCAAAUAUCUAUCUGUUACCAAAUUAUAAACAAAUAAGUCAAUUUAAUAUUUUAUAUACGAAAUCAAUUAAAUCUUAAUCACAUAAAAAUUAGCACAAAAAAAAAGUAUUCAACAAUUACAAAAUUAUCAAAUCUUUGUAUUAUAUAAGUUUUGAUACUAUAUUCGAAUAAAAUGUAAUAUACUUUUUCAAUUUGAAUUCUUUAACUAAUUUAAGCUAACUAAUAUAUUUGCUAAUCUUAUACCUAUCAAAACCGACUAUAGUUUCUUAUCUCUAUAGUAUUUUUGCAAGACUUUUUUGGUGGAUUUGGAUAAAAGUGCAUUCGGGUCAUAUGGUACAUUUCCCUAUUAAAUAAAUAUGGUGCACUCCUAUGUUAUUAGCUAAAAAUUUUAGAUUAUAAUUCAGAGUCAUAUCAUAAAUAAAAUUAAUAUUAAUAAAAUAAAUGACUUUUUAGCAAGACGGAUUUGGAGGGACGGGUUUUUUGAAUCAACAUUAAUAAAAAAGUAAAAUAUAAUUAAUCUACCGUUUCUAUACGGGUUAAAUCUUUAAAUUAUUAUUUUUAAGACCACUAAUAUUAAACAUAUCAAAUCAUCUUAAUUUAGAAAAGGUUAUAUAAAACCAAAAAGUUAUGUAAUAUGUAUAAUGUUACUAUAUAUAAAAUUAAACUAUAAAAUAUAAAUGUAUUAGAGAAUGAUACAAUUUGCAAAAAUUUUAUAUAUAAUAAAUAAUUCUUACAUUUUAAAAAUUACUACUUUAAAAAAAAAUCACGGGACGGGUAAAAAAAUUACAGAACGGGUUUUAUUUUGGAAUUGAGUUAUAUGGUGGUUGUAUUUGAAUCAAUAUUUAUAAAAAAUUUAAAAUAUUAU
rnacentral:sRNA from 1 species